rnacentral:lncRNA from 1 species
GGAGACCCCCGGCGGCCCGGCCCUGCGGGGACCGGGCGGGAUGGGGACCGGGGCAGUGGACCCUCGGAGUUGGGAUGGGGCGGGGGGAACGCGGGCGUGGAGCCCUCCGGGGACAGGCUGAGUUCCGGCUGCCCCUCACCCUCGGCUUCUUCACUCUGCCUCUCCCCAGCCAGCGCCCUGCUCCCCGGUCCUCAACCACCACCUUCCACCUGCCUGGGCCUUCAUCGCCUCCGAGCUCCCCUUCCACACCAAACCUGGCGUCCGUUUUCCUCCAGGCCUGCACCAGCACAGCUGAAGGGGAGAGAGACCCAACCUCAUCCACUGGGCCUCCCCUCAACCAGGGCCACAACCUCAAGGGGCCAUGCCACCUCCAACACCUAUUUCCCACCUUCUACUCUCUCCACACCCUGGGACACCACCCGCCUCUCUCAGCUGACGUUUUCCUUCUUGUUUUGUGUGCAUGGUGCUUGUGUGAGAAAGUGGACACACAGUAA